GACGAACGCUGGCGGCGUGCCUAAUACAUGCAAGUCGAACGAGAGCGACCGGUGCUUGCACUGGUCAAUCUAGUGGCGAACGGGUGAGUACCUCGUGGGUAACCUGCCUACCAGAGGGGGAUAACAUCCGGAAACGGAUGCUAAAACCGCCUAGGUCUUCGCGCUGAAUGGCUUCAAUAGGUAAAGAGGCGCUAGCUUCUGCUGAUGGAUGUCCCCGCGGUGCAGUAGCUAGUUGGUGAGGUAACGUCUCACCAAGGCCGUGAUGCAUAGCCGACCUGAGAGAGUGAUCGGCCACAUAGGGACGGAGACACGGCCCAAACACCUACGGGAGGCAGCAGUAGGGAAUCUACCGCAAUGGACGCAAGGCUGACGGAGCAACGCAGGGUGAGUGAAGAAGGUUUGCGGAACGUAAAGCACUGUGGUUAGAGAAGAACAAGUGCUAGAGUAACUGUAAGGGCCUUGACGGUAUCUAAGCAGAAGGCCACGGCUAACUAGGU
rnacentral:rRNA from 1 species